rnacentral:snRNA from 1 species
GAAUGUCGGGGUGANCUACCUNCAGCAUCUGUCACUCCAUUGAUCUCCAGGGUUGAUUCUGCUGAUCUGUCUGGCUAAGCCAGUGUCCCCUUCCUUCCUCACCACUCAAUGUACUUACCUCCCAUAACUGUGUGCUUGGUUGAAGAGGAGAAACUUCCCCAAAUAAAGGUGGACCACCUUCUGUCAAGGGUAUGUGAGUGGCUGUGCUCCUCUGCUAGAACCUCCAAACAAGCUACAUUGCCAAGAGAAGUUAAAACAAAACAAAACAAACAAACAAACAAAN